UUCUUUAUAGCUUGCUAUGGAGGAUAAUUAGUGGCAGACGGGUGAGUAAUGCAUAGGAAUCUACCUAGUAGUAUGGGAUAGCCACUAGAAAUGGUGGGUAAUACUGUAUAAUUCCUGCGGGGGAAAGAUUUAUCGCUAUUAGAUGAGCCUAUGUUAGAUUAGCUAGUUGGUAGGGUAAAGGCCUACCAAGGCGAUGAUCUAUAGCUGGUCUGAGAGGAUGAUCAGCCACACUGGAACUGAGAUACGGUCCAGACUCCUACGGGAGGCAGCAGUGGGGAAUAUUGGACAAUGGGCGCAAGCCUGAUCCAGCUAUGCCGCGUGAGUGAGGAAGGCCUUAGGGUUGUAAAACUCUUUCAGUAGGGAAGAUAAUGACGGUACCUACAGAAGAAGUCCCGGCAACUCCGUGCCAGCAGCCGCGGUAAUACGGAGGGGGCAAGCGUUGUUCGUAAU
rnacentral:rRNA from 1 species